rnacentral:lncRNA from 1 species
UCAAUUGGUUAUACAUUUAUGAUAUUUCAUCAUAAUUAUGAAAUAAACAAAAAAAAAGGGAGGAAAUUUGGCAUAAGAUAACUUUAAUUUAUUGAAUUUUAUUACAUGAAUAACCUCUAGAUAUAUAUAGAGGUCAAAACCUUAAAACAUACAUCACGCAAAACUUAAAAAACCAAAAACAUGUAAAUAAUUUGGAUGAAUCCUUUCUCUUGGUUUGUAUUAUUCUUCAUCUUCCGUUCGUUUUUAUUCUUUCUCUACAUCCACUCUUCUUCUUUGAGCAAUUAUUUUUUCCUGCAAGAAUAAGUUUAUUUCUAUCAUUAAUUCAUAUGGUAAAAUAGUUGCUGAAAGACUACCUAAAACGUUACGUAGAUAAAAUAUAAUGCAGGCGAGUAAGGGUUUUAUCAAACCAAUUAAGUGAUAUAUAUAUAUAUAUAUAUAUAUAUAUAUAUAUAUAUAUAUAUAUAUAUUUCUCAUAUUAUGUCUAAAUAAAGAAUAUAUUUUCUAAAUCUUAAUUAUGUGUCAUUUCUUGUCUAACACUAUUAUGUAUUGUUACAAUUUUAAUGUAAUUACUUAUUUAUAAUUAAGUCAACUGUUUAAAUGUAUAAAUGUUACAUGACACAAAUACAUGAAAUGAGAUAAUGGAUGUAACUAUAAAAGGAACAAAUAUAUCUGAAUUUAAGAAUAUUAUUAUAGGGUAUCUAUUGAAAAAUAGUGUAUAUCAAAUAUAUAUAAUUUUUAUAUAUUAUUCUUUUUUUUAAGAUUACCUCAUAUAGGCUAAGUGAUUCCUUAGUAGUGGUGAGGAGGAGGAGGAGGUGAAGUGUAGUAAUAAUGGGUCGGUGGUGGUGGUGACUUGUGAACCGGUGGUGGUGGGGAUUUGUACUUGUAAACUGGUGGUGGUGGCGGUGGUGAUUUGUAGUGGUAAGGAGGGGGAGGGGAGUGCAUCGGCGGAGGUGGUGGUGAUUUGUAGUGGUAAGGAGGAGGUGGUGAAUGCACCGGAGGUGGUGGUGGUGGUGAUUUGUAGUGGUAAGGAGGAGGUGGUGAAUGCACUGGAGGAGGCGGUGGUGGUGAUUUAAAGUGGUAAGGAGGAGGUGGAGAGUGCACCGGUGGUGGUGGUGAUUUAAAGUGGUAAGGAGGAGGUGGAGAGUGCACCGGUGGUGGUGGUGAUUUAAAGUGGUAAGGAGGAGGUGGAGAGUGCACCGGUGGUGGUGGUGAUUUAAAGUGGUAAGGAGGAGGUGGAGAGUGCACCGGUGGUGGUGGUGAUUUAAAGUGGUAAGGAGGAGGUGGAGAGUGCACCGGUGGUGGUGGUGAUUUAAAGUGGUAAGGAGGAGGUGGAGAGUGCACCGGUGGUGGUGGUGAUUUAAAGUGGUAAGGAGGAGGUGGAGAGUGCACCGGUGGUGGUGGUGAUUUAAAGUGGUAAGGAGGAGGUGGAGAGUGCACCGGUGGUGGUGGUGAUUUAAAGUGGUAAGGAGGAGGUGGAGAGUGCACCGGUGGUGGUGGUGAUUUAAAGUGGUAAGGAGGAGGUGGAGAGUGCACCGGUGGUGGUGGUGAUUUAAAGUGGUAAGGAGGAGGUGGAGAGUGCAGUGGAGGUGGUGGUGGUGAGUGCACCGGAGGUGGCGGUGGUGGUGACUUGUAGUGGUAAGGUGGUGGUGGUGAGUGCACCGGAGGAGGAGGUGGUGGUGGUGAUUUGUACUUGUAAGGAGGAGGAGGUGGUGGUGGGGAUUUCUUAGGAGGUGGAGGAGAGGAGUAAGAGUAAUCUGCUGUGGUUUCUGAUGGCAAGUUGAGAGACACUAAUACCACUAGAAAAGUUAGAAUGAGAGAGGCCAUUUUGGACCCCUUGGAUUUUCUUCCCAUCUGUACUACAAAUGUAGUUUCUUUGUUGUGCUAUUAAGCAACCUUUU